rnacentral:rRNA from 1 species
UACGAAGGGGGCUAGCGUUGCUUGGAAUUACUGGGCGUAAAGCGCACGUAGGCGGUCUUUUAAGUCGGGGGUGAAAUCCUGGAGCUCAACUCCAGAACUGCCUUCGAUACUGGAAGACUUGAGUCCGGGAGAGGUGAGUGGAACUGCGAGUGUAGAGGUGAAAUUCGUAGAUAUUCGCAAGAACACCAGUGGCGAAGGCGGCUCACUGGCCCGGUACUGACGCUGAGGUGCGAAAGCGUGGGGAGCGAACAGG